UAUGGCUACACCACCCUGAGCAUGCCCGAUUGCGUCUGAUCUUGGAAGCUAAGCAGGGUCAGGCCAAGUUAGUAUUCGGAUGGGAGAAGAGAAUUACUAAGUUCGGCCCACAC
rnacentral:rRNA from 1 species